UUGCUUUGGCAGCAUGUUUACUAAAACUGGAAUGACCCAGAGAUGGCUAGCAUGGCUCCUGUUCAAGAGUGACAUAGGAAUUUAUGAAGCAUUCUGUACUGCU